UUNCCNGAGUACUAUGAAUAUAAAAAAUUUAAAACUCAAAGAACUUGGCGGUGUUUUAGACCACUCAGGGGAACCUGUCUCGUAAUCGAUAAUCCACGUUGUAUCUGACCUUUCUUUGUUUUCAGUUUGUAUACCGUUGUCGUCAGGUAACUUUUUAGAAACUAGAAGUUAGCAGUAGAAAUAUGGUAAUUUAAUACGUCAAAUCAAGGUGCAGCUAAUAGAGAGGGGAGGAUGGGUUACAGUUAUAUGAUUUAUAAUUACGGAGGAAUAUAUGAAAUAUGUAUUGUUUAAGGCGGACUUGAAAGUAAAUUAGGAUAUGUGAAUAACUUGAAUGAGGCUCUGAAACGUGU
rnacentral:rRNA from 1 species